rnacentral:lncRNA from 1 species
GGCUGGCGCACGACCGAACAGCUUUUCAUUCCUUUUAAGGUCGGAACCUCUGUGCUCGACACAGGGUCCAGACCGAAGCCAGCGCUUGCAGAGAGGCCGGGGCUGGAGCUGCCUGUGAGCCCAGGGAGCGGAGGUAAGACGGGGAACAGGGCGGCUGUGCACGCGCACGCCAUGGGCUGAGACACGUCAGGCAGGAGCGAGGGUGGGUUUGGGAGUAUGGGGUUAUCAGGUUGUCACAGGGUGACUUAAGAUCCUCCCUCACUAAAACGUGACCCCUUCAAGGGCAAGAACCGUACAUCAUCGUUUCUGUUAACACACAGAGAGCACACGUGCACACAGUUAACCAGGCACCUCUGGUGCCUGAUGGCAAAAGGUCUGUUCUCCCUGGAGUUCUGGGCUCUCUGAGGUCCUAUUGUGGCGUCCGUCCCACGCCAGAUGCUGUAGAGGUCGGGUCGUGCUGGGGCCCGAUAGUCAUGUUGCCCAAACAAAGAUUAUUUAUGAGAAACGAGAACCAAAAGCAUCCAUGCCGGUCCAGACCGAGACCUAAAGGACCUAUAAAUGCUGUGUUUGUCUGUCUGUCUGUCUGUCUGUCUGUCUGUCUGUCUCUCUCUCUCUCUCUGUUUUCUUUUACAUAGGAGUGGUUAAUAUUUUUUCGAAAUAUUCUCCUAACAAUCCCUGUUAAGUGCUUACUGUUUGUAAGCGCUUGGGACACAGAGCUUUGUGUAAUUUUACUUCCCCGGCGCUGUGACGUCGCUGCUGUUAUCCUGUGUUACAGGUGAGGAAACCAACACCAGAGAAGUCACUUAAUGAGUGACAGAGCUGGUGAGCAGGGGUUCGAACACAGGCACUCUGACUCCAGAGCUUUUUCUUACGUGGACGCUGUAUCCAAGCAUUUCUCGCCUGGGACGCCUGGCUGGCUCCGUCGGCAGAGCGUGUGACUCUUGACCCUCAGCGUUGUGAGUUCGAGCCCCACGUUGGGUGUAGAGAUUACUUCAAAAUAAAACCCUAAAA